rnacentral:rRNA from 1 species
UACAGAGACUGCAAGCGUUAUUCGGAUUCACUGGGCGUAAAGGGUGCGCAGGCGGCCGUGUGUGUCAGGUGUGAAAGCCCGGGGCUUAACCCCGGAAUUGCGCCUGAAACUACAUGGCUAGAGCAUUGGAGAGGGUAGCGGAACUCACGGUGUAGCAGUGAAAUGCGUAGAUAUCGUGAGGAACACCAGAGGCGAAGGCGGCUACCUGGACAAUUGCUGACGCUCAGGCACGAAAGCGUGGGGAGCAAAAGGG